rnacentral:rRNA from 1 species
UACGGAGGGGGCUAGCGUUGUUCGGAAUUACUGGGCGUAAAGCGCACGUAGGCGGCUUUGUAAGUUAGAGGUGAAAGCCCGGGGCUCAACUCCUGAAUUGCCUUUAAGACUGCAUCGCUAGAAUUGUGGAGAGGUAAGUGGAAUUCCCGGUGUAGUGGUGAAAUGCGUAGAGAUCGGGAGGAACACCAGUGGCGAAGGCGGCCGGCUGGGGGUGACCUGACGCUGAGGCGCGAAAGCGUGGGGAGCGAACCGG